rnacentral:rRNA from 1 species
UACGUAGGUGGCGAGCGUUGUCCGGAUUUAUUGGGUUUAAAGGGUGCGUAGGCGGCCGUGUAAGUCAGUGCUGAAAUAUUCCAGCUUAACUGGGAGGGUGGCAUUGAUACUGCGUGGCUAGAGUACAGAUGAGGUAGGCGGAAUUGACGGUGUAGCGGUGAAAUGCUUAGAUAUCGUCAAGAACACCUAUAGCGAAGGCAGCUUACUAGGCUGUAACUGACGCUGAGGCACGAAAGUGUGGGGAUCAAACAGGAUUAGAAACCCCCGUAGUCC